rnacentral:rRNA from 1 species
GUUGUGGUGCUUUUUUUUUGUUGUAUUUUUUAUUUCAUUUUUUGUAAAAUAUUUUGGUUUUUUUUUUUUUGAAAAAGUGCUUAAAAUUUGGUUUUUGAACUGGAUUAGUACCCAGGUAAACAAAAUUUAUUAAUUCGGGAGUAAAGUUUUUUUUAAACCGAAAAAAUAUUGACUGACUUCGGAUUUUUCUUUGGAACAUGUGUUUUUUGGAGAGUCCUCCCUUGUUGCUGGUUUUGUUGGCUCAUGUAUGAUUGUUUAGCUUUUAUUUUUUUUGUAAUGCUAUUUUUUGUUUUUAUUUAAAACAGAUAUAUAUUUGGUUUAUGAAUCAGUUAUCAUGUGUUACUAUUAUUAAUUUUUUUCGGAUUUAAUUUUUAUUUUUUUUUGAAGUUGGAAAAGAAAGUAAUUUUUUUUUUAUGUAUAAAGGAAUUUAAAAAACGGAGGGGUACAAACCACCCCCCCAAAAAA